UACGUAGGGGGCAAGCGUUGUCCGGAAUCAUUGGGCGUAAAGGGCGCGUAGGCGGCUCGGUAAGUAGGGGGUGAAAUCUCGGAGCUUAACUCCGAAACUGCAUUCGAUACUGCCGUGCUUGAGGACUGGAGAGGAGACUGGAAUUUACGGUGUAGCGGUGAAAUGCGUAGAUAUCGUAAGGAAGACCAGUGGCGAAGGCGGGUCUCUGGACAGUUCCUGACGCUGAGGCACGAAGGUCAGGGGAGCAAACGGG
rnacentral:rRNA from 1 species